rnacentral:tRNA from 1 species
GCCGUUAUAGCUCAGAUGGUAGAGCACAUGAUUUGUAAUCAUGAGGCCCCGAGUUCGAUUCUUGGUGACGGCACCA